rnacentral:rRNA from 1 species
AUGAACGCUGGCGGCGUGCCUCAUACAUGCCAGUCGAGCGAACGGACGAGAAGCUUGCUUUUCUGAUGUUAGCGGCGGACGGGUGAGUAACACGUGGAUAACCUACCUAUAAGACUGGGAUAACUUCGGGAAACCGGAGCUAAUACCGGAUAAUAUUUUGAACCGCAUGGUUCAAAAGUGAAAGACGGUCUUGCUGUCACUUAUAGAUGGAUCCGCGCUGCAUUAGCUAGUUGGUAAGGUAACGGCUUACCAAGGCAACGAUGCAUAGCCGACCUGAGAGGGUGAUCGGCCACACUGGAACUGAGACACGGUCCAGACUCCUACGGGAGGCAGCAGUAGGGAAUCUUCCGCAAUGGGCGAAAGCCUGACGGAGCAACGCCGCGUGAGUGAUGAAGGUCUUCGGAUCGUAAAACUCUGUUAUUAGGGAAGAACAUAUGUGUAAGUAACUGUGCACAUCUUGACGGUACCUAAUCAGAAAGCCACGGCUAACUACGUG